UGAGCGCUCUCUCUCUCUCUGUCACCUGUCUGGAAACACAGAAGAGAAGCAGCGCGAGGACGAGGUAGGCAGUGUAUUAAUGCAAAACAUGAUCAAUAUGAUGUAAAGUGAGAAAUGUAUUUAACCCUGUAGAGCCCAGAGAAAUGUGUUAAUCUGCAGUGUGUUUGAUGACUGUGAGGUUUUAGCAGCAUUAAUGAGGACAGUAUGUUUAUGAGGACACGUGUUAUAAUAGUAAACAUUCAUAAUGAAGAUAUUCUCAUUUCACACAUUUUAUACCAUCUUGCCACUUUUUGUGUUGUUGGAAUAUAAAAGACACAAAUAAUAAAACUAUGAUCAGACUUUAUGAUUCAGCUGAUAAAGAUUUAUACUGUCUGUUAAUUUUUGACUUCAGUUGUUCCAAAGUUCAGAGCUGCUGUUCUGUGAUCACAUUUCCUUAAAGAAGACUUCAGAUUAAAGAUGAACACAGAGAGAUGAGACCUUAAAAACCUCCUGCUAUCCUGCAAACCCAGGAAGAGGAAGACAAAAGAGGAAGAGCUGAGACAAACACUGGUGAUUUGUCUUUGAAGCAGAGGAGCGUCACGUCUCUCUCUCUCUUUCACCUGUCUGCAAACACGGAAGAGAAG